rnacentral:rRNA from 1 species
UACAGAGGCCUCAAGCGUUAGGCGGAAUCACUGGGCUUAAAGCGUGCGUAGGCGGCCUUCUAAGUGCCUUGUGAAAUCCCACGGCUCAACCGUGGAACUGCUGGGCAUACUGCGGGUCUUGGGCCAACUAGGGGCAGCCGGAACAAGCGGUGGAGCGGUGAAAUGCGUAGAUAUCGCUUGGAACGCCGAAGGUGAAAACAGGCUGCUGGGGUUGCGCCGACGCUGAGACACGAAAGCCAGGGGAGCAAACAGG